UGGCCGCCCGGAAGCCCAGUGCCGGAAGACUACUGCUCCCGGCAUGCCGCACAAAAAUCGUGGCCUCCCGGAAGCCCAGUGCCGGAAGACUACUGCUCCCGACAUGCCGCGCAAAGCAACAUGGCCGCCCGGAAGCCCAGUGACGGAAGACUACUGCUCCCGGCAUGCCGGGGGGGCGGGGUGCCUCGGCGCUCUGUGAGGUUUGUGGCGUUCGCUCUGUGGCGAUCUCGUUCCGUCCCGCCCCUCUUCCCGCCGCCCGCCCUCGGGACCCGGAUACCGCCGCAGAGCCCGGAGCGCGGCCCCGCGAUCCCCAACACCAGCCCGGGACUCCCCCGACACUGUCCACGGAGGGACUGAUUUUUUUCGGAACGCGACGGCAGCUGCGAGCAGGGCGGGAAGCAGUGCGCGUGUGUUGCGGGUGCCGUUCUGCUUUUUCGACACCCGAGGGCAGCAGGGAGCACGACGGAACGCAGUGCGCAUGCGCCCCUCCGCGCUGCGUGCCGCUCUACUUUUUCGACACCCGAGGGCCGCGGUGAGCCAUGUUAAGCCAGUGCGCAUGCGCGAGCCGCUCUGUGCAGUGCUUGCCUGUUAUCGCCCGAGGGCAGCGGUGAGCGCGGCUGUGAACUACUGCGCAUGCGCGCGGUCCCUCUUCACAGUGCCGCUCCUAGAUUCCUGUUACGCUUGGAUGCUGGCCUCACAGGUGAUGACCAAAACGAACAACUGGAUCACUAGGUCGAGCUGUGUCUCUUCAAGAUGUCCCCCUUCGGUGGACUACCCUGCCAAACAAACCAAGAAGACUGAUGAGGCCGUGAGGGUAUCAGAUCUUUGGACUGCUUCUCCAAGGCUUUCCGGGUGAUUGAUGUAACAGCUUCUCUUCGCGUUACUCAAAGCCACGUUCAUCUAUUACCUACGACUAAACUGUUUCUAUUUUAAGAGGGGAUUGCUGUUUGUUGAAACUUUACACAUAGUCCAUAACCUGCUACGCAUCAUCUCUAGUCCCUUCUGCUUUCACAACACUUUCAGUAAUUCAAGGUGGGAAUUAAGAGCACCCGCUGUCCUAUGGGCUGGAGUGAGUCAUUUCUCCUGCUCUGAGGAGGUGCCUAAAAGCCAUGCUGUUUUCUGUAGUAGCAUCGCUGGGGCUUCCCAUAGCCCACCAGUGUUCUCUUAGGCUUUUCCCGAGCCUUGUAUUUUUUUAAGGUUAUUCCUUAGCCUGCAAUUUUAUGUUAACGUUCUCCUUAAGCACUGUGCACAGCACGAUUAUCUCAGGUCAGCCACAUUAACAGAGUCUUCCUGAACGCACGGAGGGUUCUGAGAGGUGGCAAAGAAAAGAGGGAGAAUUCCCUCAAUUCCCUGAUAUUUAUAUAAAGGACAAACCGGUUUCAGAAACUUUAGAACUAUGUGAUUAAGUUCAAUUCUAAAGUUAAUUGUACAAUGCCAGUACUAAUUCACUGCUAUUGCCUAAUCUGAUCCUUCAUUAUUUUUAAGUGCCUUGUGAUACACGCAGAUGCUGUACAUAGUAUACUCAAACCACUUAUGCUAGAAGCUUGAAUUGGCAAAACUUUCAUUUGAACAAUCCAAAGUGCUCUACAGACAUAAUUACCCAAAGGCUACAUAAAAAAAAGUAAUACAUACUUCUCAAUGAGACAAUUCGCAACCACUAAAUAGUCUUAAUCCUUUAGGACUUUGAACCUCUCAUCUUUAUAAAUUGUUACACAAAGUAAAUAGCCAGAAAAGUUGCACUGUUUUCUUGACAGUCUGCCCAGUUUUUAAGAUUAAACAAGUAAGGAAUGUUUGCACAAAGUAUGCCUACCACAUUAAAGCAUGAAAAAUAUCAGUGUUCUGAUCAUCUUUUGCAGUCCUGCAGGCAACAAGCUAAGUUCAGUUUCUAAACUAUCUCAGCUUUUUGAGCAGAGAUCACAGCCUGCAGGCUAUUACUCUGUGAAAAAGACUACUGGCCUGAUCUCCCAUAUACCAUUUACCUGGCUUGAUUACUUACAGGUAUUAGGAAUGAAAGUACACAGCCUUUUAGAAAAGCCAAAUACUGUCUCUUAAAUUUCCUCAGAAUCAUCAUUACUUUUGAUUGUUAGCCACCUUCUUGCAACCAAGCUGCAAGAACUUUAAGACAACAAAACAUUUUGCCUUCAAGUCAGAACUUUCUGCUCCCCAGGACUUAUAGAGACACUACUGUCUGGUAAAAGUUGUACUAAACCCUACAGCAAAUCAUAAGAUACUUUCUCCAGAGGGUCUGACCACUGUAUCCCCUUCACCUUCACUAAGGUUUUUUAGAAUCUUAUUUCAUUCAAUAAGCAAAACAGUACAAUCAAUGUUUUAAUCUGCUCUAAAUGCUCUUCUAGAAGAGGACAAUAUAAAAAUGAGGUAUUACAGCAUUUAGUCUUCUUUACACAUGCUACCCCAGUGUCAUAGACGUAUUUUAAAACAUCAGUAACAUACACUUUUCACAAUAAUGUUCAAGUACAGAAUAUACACUUGGUCUCAAGUAUGACUGUUGCUAAAAAGCUAUGACAAUGGGGCUAGGUAAUAAAUCUUGACAAGCCAUUACUCA
ensembl:lncRNA